CGGAUUGUAGUCUGCAACCCGGCUACAUGAAGCUGGAAUCGCUAGUAAUCGCAGAUCAGAAUGCUGCGGUGAAUACGUUCCCGGGUCUUGUACACACCGCCCGUCACACCAUGGGAGUCGGAAAUGCCCGAAGUCGGUGACCCAACCGUUUACGGAGGGAGCUGCCGAAGGCAGGUCUGGUGACUGGGGUGAAGUCGUAACAAGGUAGC
rnacentral:rRNA from 1 species